GAGAUAACUCCUACGGGAGGCAGCAGUGGGGAAUUUUGGACAAUGGGCGCAAGCCUGAUCCAGCAAUGCCGCGUGCAGGAAGAAGGCCUUCGGGUUGUAAACUGCUUUUGUACGGAACGAAACGGUCUGGGUUAAUACCCUGGGCUAAUGACGGUACCGUAAGAAUAAGCACCGGCUAACUACGUGCCAGCAGCCGCGGUAAUACGUAGGGUGCAAGCGUUAAUCGGAAUUACUGGGCGUAAAGCGUGCGCAGGCGGUUUUGUAAGACAGGCGUGAAAUCCCCGGGCUCAACCUGGGAAUGGCGCUUGUGACUGCAAAGCUGGAGUGCGGCAGAGGGGGAUGGAAUUCCGCGUGUAGCAGUGAAAUGCGUAGAUAUGCGGAGGAACACCGAUGGCGAAGGCAAUCCCCUGGGCCUGCACUGACGCUCAUGCACGAAAGCGUGGGGAGCAAACAGGAUUAGAAACCCUGGUAGUCCUCCACU
rnacentral:rRNA from 1 species